UGGGGAAUUUUGGACAAUGGGCGAAAGCCUGAUCCAGCAAUGCCGCGUGUGUGAAGAAGGCCUUCGGGUUGUAAAGCACUUUUGUCCGGAAAGAAAUCCUUGGCUCUAAUACAGUCGGGGGAUGACGGUACCGGAAGAAUAAGCACCGGCUAACUACGUGCCAGCAGCCGCGGUAAUACGUAGGGUGCAAGCGUUAAUCGGAAUUACUGGGCGUAAAGCGUGCGCAGGCGGUUUGCUAAGACCGAUGUGAAAUCCCCGGGCUCAACCUGGGAACUGCAUUGGUGACUGGCAGGCUAGAGUAUGGCAGAGGGGGGUAGAAUUCCACGUGUAGCAGUGAAAUGCGUAGAGAUGUGGAGGAAUACCGAUGGCGAAGGCAGCCCCCUGGGCCAAUACUGACGCUCAUGCACGAAAGCGUGGGGAGCAAACAGGAUUAGAUACCCUGGUAGUCCACGCCCUAAAACGAUGUCAACUAGUUGUUGGGAUUCAUUUCCUUAGUAACGUAGCUAACGCGUGAAGUUGACCGCCUGGGGAGUACGGUCGCAAGAUUAAAACUCAAAUGAAUUGAC
rnacentral:rRNA from 1 species